UGCUGCUCGGGAUGAACGCUGGCGGCGUGCUUAACACAUGCAAGUCGAACGAACCUUCGGGUUAGUGGCGGACGGGUGAGUAACGCGUGGGAAUCUGCCCUCAGGAGGGGGAUAACGGCUGGAAACGGCCGCUAAUACCCCAUAUGCCGAGAGGUGAAAAGAAAUUCGCCUGAGGAUGAGCCCGCGUCUGAUUAGCUAGUUGGUGGGGUAAGAGCUCACCAAGGCGACGAUCAGUAGCUGGUCUGAGAGGAUGAUCAGCCACACUGGGACUGAGACACGGCCCAGACUCCUACGGAGGCAGCAGUGGGGAAUUUUCCGCAAUGGGCGAAAGCCUGACGGAGCAACGCCGCGUGAGGGAUGAAGGCCUCUGGGCUGUAAACCUCUUUUCUCAAGGAAGAAGACAUGACGGUACUUGAGGAAUAAGCCACGGCUAAUUCCGUGCCAGCAGCCGCGGUAAUACGGGAGUGGCAAGCGUUAUCCGGAAUUAUUGGGCGUAAAGCGUCCGCAGGCGGCCCUGUAAGUCUGUCGUUAAAGCGUGGAGCUUAACUCCAUUUAAGCGAUGGAAACUACAGGGCUUGAGUGUGGUAGGGGCAGAGGGAAUUCCCGGUGUAGCGGUGAAAUGCGUAGAUAUCGGGAAGAACACCAGUGGCGAAGGCGCUCUGCUGGGCCAUAACUGACGCUCAUGGACGAAAGCCAGGGGAGCGAAAGGGAUUAGAUACCCCUGUAGUCCUGGCCGUAAACGAUGAACACUAGGUGUCGGGGGAAUCGACCCCCUCGGUGUCGUAGCCAACGCGUUAAGUGUUCCGCCUGGGGAGUACGCACGCAAGUGUGAAACUCAAAGGAAUUGACGGGGGCCCGCACAAGCGGUGGAGUAUGUGGUUUAAUUCGAUGCAACGCGAAGAACCUUACCAGGGUUUGACAUCCUGCGAAUCCCUUGGAAACGAGGGAGUGCCUUCGGGAGCGCAGAGACAGGUGGUGCAUGGCUGUCGUCAGCUCGUGUCGUGAGAUGUUGGGUUAAGUCCCGCAACGAGCGCAACCCACGUCUUUAGUUGCCAGCAUUCAGUUGGGCACUCUAGAGAGACCGCCGGUGAUAACCCGGAGGAAGGUGUGGAUGACGUCAAGUCAUCAUGCCCCUUACAUCCUGGGCUACACACGUACUACAAUGCUACGGACAAAGGGCAGCAAGCUCGCGAGAGUUAGCAAAUCCCAUAAACCGUGGCUCAGUUCAGAUCGUAGGCUGCAACUCGCCUACGUGAAGGAGGAAUCGCUAGUAAUCGCAGGUCAGCAUACUGCGGUGAAUACGUUCCCGGGCCUUGUACACACCGCCCGUCACACCAUGGAAGUUGGCCAUGCCCGAAGUCGUUACUCCAACAC
rnacentral:rRNA from 1 species